rnacentral:rRNA from 1 species
GAUCAGCAUGCCGCGGUGAAUACGUUCCCGGGCCUUGUACACACCGCCCGUCACACCAUGGGAGCCGGUAAUACCCGAAGUCAGUAGUCCAACCUCGUGAGGACGCUGCCGAAGGUAGGAUUGGCGACUGGGGUGAAGUCGUAACAAGGUACC